UGGGGAAUUUUGGACAAUGGGCGAAAGCCUGAUCCAGCAAUGCCGCGUGUGUGAAGAAGGCCUUCGGGUUGUAAAGCACUUUUGUCCGGAAAGAAAUCCUUGGCUCUAAUACAGUCGGGGGGAUGACGGUACCGGAAGAAUAAGCACCGGCUAACUACGUGCCAGCAGCCGCGGUAAUACGUAGGGUGCAAGCGUUAAUCGGAAUUACUGGGCGUAAAGCGUGCGCAGGCGGUUUGCUAAGACCGAUGUGAAAUCCCCGGGGCUCAACCUGGGAACUGCAUUGGUGACUGGCAGGCUAGAGUAUGGCAGAGGGGGGUAGAAUUCCACGUGUAGCAGUGAAAUGCGUAGAGAUGUGGAGGAAUACCGAUGGCGAAGGCGAGCCCCCUGGGCCAAUACCUGGACGCUCAUGCACGAAAGGCGUGGGGAGCAAANAGGAUUAGAUACCCUGGUAGUCC
rnacentral:rRNA from 1 species